AGAGUUUGAUCAUGGCUCAGAACGAACGCUGGCGGCAGGCUUAACACAUGCAAGUCGAACGAUGUAGCAAUACAUAGUGGCGCACGGGUGAGUAACGCGUGGGAAUAUACCUUAUAGUGGGGAAUAACUUUGGGAAACUAAAGCUAAUACCGCAUACGCCCGAGAGGGGAAAGAUUUAUCGCUAUAAGAUUAGCCCGCGUGAGAUUAGGUAGUUGGUGGGGUAAUGGCCUACCAAGCCUACGAUCUCUAGCUGGUCUGAGAGGAUGAUCAGCCACACUGGAACUGAGACACGGUCCAGACUCCUACGGGAGGCAGCAGUGGGGAAUAUUGGGCAAUGGAGGAAACUCUGACCCAGCCAUGCCGCGUGAAUGAUGAAGGCCUUAGGGUUGUAAAGUUCUUUCGCCGAUGAAGAUAAUGACGGUAGUCGGAGAAGAAGCCCCGGCUAACUUCGUGCCAGCAGCCGCGGUAAUACGAAGGGGGCUAGCGUUGUUCGGAAUUACUGGGCGUAAAGCGAGCGUAGGUUGCUCGAUAAGUCAGUGGUGAAAGCCCAGAGCUCAACUCUGGAACUGCCAUUGAAACUGUCGAGCUGGAAUCUCAGAGGGGGUAGCGGAAUUCCAAAUGUAGGGGUGAAAUCCGUAGAUAUUUGGAGGAACACCGGUGGCGAAGGCGGCUACCUGGAUGAGUAUUGACACUGAGGCUCGAAAGCGUGGGGAUCAAACAGGAUUAGAUACCCCGGUAGUCC
rnacentral:rRNA from 1 species